UACAGAGGUCUCAAGCGUUUGUUCGGAUUCAUUGGGCGUAAAGGGUGCGUAGGCGGCGCGGUAAGUCGGGUGUGAAAUCUCGGAGCUUAACUCCGAAACUGCAUUCGAUACUGCCGUGCUUUGAGGACUGGAGAGGAGACUGGAAUUUACGGUGUAGCGGUGAAAUGCGUAGAUAUCGUAAGGAAGACCAGUGGCGAAGGCGGGUCUCUGGACAGUUCCUGACGCUGAGGCACGAAGGCCAGGGGAGCAAACGGG
rnacentral:rRNA from 1 species